rnacentral:lncRNA from 1 species
GGAGACGUGGUUGUGCACCCAUGAAACUGACCUUGUUUGGGAGUCAUGGACAUAUGCAUGAUAUUUAAAGCCAUGAGAUUGGAUGAGAUCAUCAAAGGAAUGAGAUCAUCAAAGGAUGGAGAAGAGGACCAGCUACUUCUGCACGGUUGCCAAUGGAAACCAGAUAACUGGACUCUGACUGAAGCAGACAUGCCACCUUACGUCUUCCAUGAGAAGGACCGUAGGUUUCUGGCACAGUCCAAGUGUCCAGAGGAUUGUCAACACUCGUAUCAAUGGGCCCGUAGCUCCUGGAUUCCAGGGAAGGCAUCACUCCUCGUGGCUCUUACCCUCCUCCUGGGGUCAGCAGAAAGGCUGGAGCAGCUCUUCUCACAGAAGGGUCAAGAGGUCAAGUGGAGGCGUGAGAAGCAUCUUCGGGCCUAUGCUUGA